rnacentral:ncRNA from 1 species
GGGUGGUGUGAAGCAUUUUGUUCCCAAAAGGAACGAACCUUCUCCCGAAGCACAUCGUCCAUUCUUCCACAACUGCUAAUUAUCCUGCAACGAUAAUGUUACUAAUAAUUAUGCAAGCGAAAGUCUUCGGGCGUUGACAGUGAAAGGUGUCUAAUACUUCAGACAUUGGUCAAUGGAGUCAUCAGGGAGACCGCAAGUCUACUGAUGUCAAUCACGAAAUACCUGGUGGGACGGCCAUCCCUUAGAGAGUCCGCAAGACUUUACAGAGUAGAGUAACGGUUGAGUAACUGGCAACGAAACGAGUGGUUCAUCGUACUGAACCGACACUGAUUCGAUACUACGGGCAAUCGUAGUGGACAAUGUGAGGAACCGAAACAAUGGAUAAUCUCACGAAAGACGGGUCACAUAAACGUAUAGUCUCAGCGU